GACAUCGUAGCGUAGUGGUUGGCGUGACCGCCUAUGACGCUGAACGUCUAGGUUCGAAUCCUGGCGAGAGCA
rnacentral:tRNA from 1 species